rnacentral:rRNA from 1 species
GUGGGGAAUAUUGGACAAUGGGCGAAAGCCUGAUCCAGCCAUGCCGCGUGUGUGAAGAAGGUCUUCGGAUUGUAAAGCACUUUAAGUUGGGAGGAAGGGCAGUAAGUUAAUACCUUGCUGUUUUGACGUUACCAACAGAAUAAGCACCGGCUAACUUCGUGCCAGCAGCCGCGGUAAUACGAAGGGUGCAAGCGUUAAUCGGAAUUACUGGGCGUAAAGCGCGCGUAGGUGGUUUUGUAAGUUGGAGGUUAAAUCCCCGGGCUCAACCUGGGAACUGCCUCCAAAACUGCAUGACUAGAGUACGGUAGAGGGUAGUGGAAUUUCCUGUGUAGCGGUGAAAUGCGUAGAUAUAGGAAGGAACACCAGUGGCGAAGGCGACUACCUGGACUGAUACUGACACUGAGGUGCGAAAGCGUGGGGAGCAAACAGGAUUAGAAACCCGAGUAGUCC